CACAUUAUAUACCCAUUUGUGAGUCUUUAUAGCCGUGUGUGUGAGGCAAUAGAGAGAUGAAAUGAGGGCAGCCAUCUUGGGAGGUUUGGAUCAACCAUUGUUUUCUUCUUCUUCUUCAUCCCUUUGUGAUAUUGCUACCAUCAUCAUGAUCCUUUGUGGGUUAGAAAGAGGACAAUCGAUGUGGGUGAGAUAAGCAACCGAAGUGCAAAAAGGUUGUGGAUCAAGCCAAGGUCAGUGGCAUUCGUUUGAUGGUUUUUCAGAGCUCAAAAUCAAGAUUUCUCGAAGCUUUCACACAACAAAGAGUUUUAUAGAAUUUACUUGUCUUAAUUUUUCUGCAUUUU
rnacentral:lncRNA from 1 species